rnacentral:rRNA from 1 species
AAGUUAGCGGCGGACGGGUGAGUAACACGUGGGUAACCUGCCCAUAAGACUGGGAUAACUCCGGGAAACCGGGGCUAAUACCGGAUAAUAUUUUGAACUGCAUGGUUCGAAAUUGAAAGGCGGCUUCGGCUGUCACUUAUGGAUGGACCCGCGUCGCAUUAGCUAGUUGGUGAGGUAACGGCUCACCAAGGCAACGAUGCGUAGCCGACCUGAGAGGGUGAUCGGCCACACUGGGACUGAGACACGGCCCAGACUCCUACGGGAGGCAGCAGUAGGGAAUCUUCCGCAAUGGACGAAAGUCUGACGGAGCAACGCCGCGUGAGUGAUGAAGGCUUUCGGGUCGUAAAACUCUGUUGUUAGGGAAGAACAAGUGCUAGUUGAAUAAGCUGGCACCUGGACGGUACCUAACCAGAAAGCCAC